UACGGAGGAUCCUAGCGUUAUCCGGAUUUAUUGGGUUUAAAGGGUGCGCAGGCGGGAGAUUAAGUCGGCGGUGAAAUUUUGCAGCUCAACUGUAAAAGUGCCUUCGAAACUGGUUUCCUUGAGUGUAGAUGAAGUAGGCGGAAUUUGUGGUGUAGCGGUGAAAUGCAUAGAUAUCACGAGGAACUCCGAUUGCGCAGGCAGCUUACUAAACUACUACUGACGCUCGGGCACGAAGGCGUGGGGAUCAAACAUGAUUAGAUACCCCGGUAGUCCCU
rnacentral:rRNA from 1 species